UAUAAAACCAUUGGCAGCGCGGUCAAUCGUCCCUUCCAUUCAGCGCUGCGCUUUGAUGCUGGUCGAGGGUGAGCGAGUUCCCUUAAGAAUGGGGUGAUGUUGCUUCUCCAACCGGCUGUGGAGCCCUGCCUGAAAUGAGGGUACCGAGGGGGACACCGAGCCAGCUGGGAGUCCGCUCUGAAGCUUGGACCGCCGACGUAACGCGCAACAACAUCAUGUACUUGUGGAAAAUAUAAAUGGUUGCACUGAGGCCAAGCUGAAUCUGUCCGUAACAUCCAAGCAGAGACGGAAAGAAUUUGCAUCAGUGCCACCACGGU